UUGAAGAGAACGAUGGGUGUUUAAUGUUGGGUUGGCAUACUCGGCCACUCAUCGCCACCUCCGCGUGGCGGCUCAAGGCGGCCGGCGAUACCAAGUUGUAGUGAGUCAACUCAGGGAGGAGACUGAGUCAACUCGGGUAACCCCCCCCCCUCCCCUUCCUUCCCCUCCACCCACAUUGUGAAUUAUCAGUGAUUGUCGAUGAGGCGUGAGUGGGUGGGGGUGAUUUGUAGUGUGAGGGACAACGAGAGAGACGUGCCCAAAAUUGAGUCAAAUCAUGUCUUUUACUUUUUAACCUCUUUAUAAAUCAGCCCCUUUUUUUCACUUUUUUUUUAAUUUUUAACCACUAAAUAUUUUGUUGUUGUAUUUAUUAUUUUUUUUUUAGCCUUUUGUAGGGUUGGUCCGGAACCAAAAUGUGGUUUUUUGGAACUCAAACUACAUAAAUAAAUGGUAAAAAAGACCUUUUUAUAUAUAGCGCCAUAAUACCUGGCGCUAUAUACUAACAGUAACGGAACCGUUAAGGUAUAACGCCAGGUAUUGUGGCGGCUAUACUGUAAAAGCUGACAUGGACAGGUAUAAUGCCACAAUACCUGACGCUAUAUAUACAACAUUAAUGUAU
rnacentral:lncRNA from 1 species